rnacentral:rRNA from 1 species
AUACGGAGGGUGCAAACGUUGUUCGGAAUUACUGGGCGUAAAGCGCGCGUAGGCGGUUUGUUAAGUCAGAUGUGAAAGCCCAAGGCUCAACCUUGGACGUGCAUUUGAAACUGGCAGACUUGAGUACUGGAGGGGAUGGUGGAAUUCCCGGUGUAGAGGUGAAAUUCGUAGAUAUCGGGAGGAAUACCGGUGGCGAAGGCGACCAUCUGGCCAGAUACUGACGCUGAGGUGCGAAAGCAUGGGGAGCAAACAGGAUUAGAAACCCUAGUAGUCC